AGGAUGAACGCUGGCGGCGUGCUUAAGACAUGCAAGUCGAACGCAGAGCUGAUAGCAAUAUUGGCUCUGAGUGGCGAAUGGGUGCGUAACACGUAGGUGACCUGCCCUGAAGUGGGGAAUAACAGUCCGAAAGGACUGCUAAUACCGCAUACGGUUCAAGGCGUUAGAGAACUUGAACCAAAGCUCGUAAGGGCGCUUCGAGGAGGGCCUGACGGCCCAUCGAGUUAGUUGGUAGGGUAACGCCUACCAAGACGACGACGGGUAGGGACCUGAGGAGGGUCGGCCCCCACACUGGCACUGACACGACGGCCAGACUCCGUACGGGACGCAGCAGUCGGAUAUCGCCAUGGACAAGUCUAGAGGCAGACACGCCGCGUGCGCGAUGGAACGGU
rnacentral:rRNA from 1 species